rnacentral:rRNA from 1 species
GACUAUGGCCAUGCCACCCUGAACAUGCCAGGUCUCAUCUGAUCUCGGAAGCUAAGGAGGGUCGGGCCUGGUUAGUACUUGGAUGGGAGACUACCUAGGAAUUCCAGGUGCAGUAGGCA